UACACUCAUUUCUACCCGUUGC
rnacentral:siRNA from 1 species